AAGGGCACCACAAGAACGCGUGGAGCAUGUGGCUUAAUUUGACUCAACGCGGGAAAACUUACCGGGUCCGGACACACUGAGGAUUGACAGGCGACCUUUAAUGUAAAUUAUGCUAGUCCUUUCAUGAUUGUGUGAUAGGUGGUGCAUGGCCGUUCUUAGUUCGUGGAGUGAUCUGUCUGCUUAAUUGCGUUUCAGAUAAAGGGAGUUUUCAGGGUAGGUCAUUGUGUCUCUGUAACAGGAGACAGCUCUGGCUGCGCCCGGCUCCUUGAAAGCAACGAACGUGACCGCAGCCCUUUGUUGGACGUCCUCCGCCUCUCACGAGGCGAUGUUGUUUGAUGUCCUAACUAAGGGGACCGCCAGGCUUUUUAAAACCGGAGGAAGGUUGCGGCAAUAACAGGUCUGUGAUGCCCUUAGAUGUUCCGGGCUGCACACGUGCUACAAUGAUUGUUACAGAAAGUAUCUACUACUGAUUGUUCUCGAAGACCUUCGGUCGGAAAGGACCACGGAUGGACAUGUCAUUUAUUUGACUAGCUUUCCACCGUGAAACCUACCUCGAAAGUCCGGUAGGCAAUCAAUUCCAAGUGACAAUCUCCCCUGCACAAAUUAAUGUUACUAUGUCGCAAAUUUAUUUGCAAUUAGUUGACAUGUGCUCUAUAAAUUCGUGGUCGGGACAGACCAUUGCUAAUUGUUGGUCUCGGUCUCAACUAGGAAUGCCUUGUACGGGUCUUUGGUUCAACAAACCACCCGGAAUACGUCCCUGCCCUUUGUACACACCGCCCGUCGCUCUUACCGAUGGACUUCUCUGUGAGUUUGAGGGACUGGCGUCACGCCUCGUGUGUGCGAUGCUAUGGAAACUCAAACGAACAGUGUGGUCUAAAGGAAAGAGAAGUCGUAACAAGGCAUCGGUAGGUGAACCUGCAGAAGGAUCA
rnacentral:rRNA from 1 species